CUGGGGUUAUCAGCCAUAUUAGAUGAGCACU
rnacentral:piRNA from 1 species